CCUACGGGUGGCUGCAGUCGAGAAUCUUCCGCAAUGGGCGAAAGCCUGACGGAGCGACGCCGCGUGCGGGAUGAAGGCCUUCGGGUUGUAAACCGCUGUCAGUUGGGAGGAAAUCUAUGGGGGUUAUCCCCCAUAGUUGACCUAUCUUCAGAGGAAGGACGGGCUAAGUUCGUGCCAGCAGCCGCGGUAAGACGAACCGUCCAAACGUUAUUCGGAAUCACUGGGCUUAAAGGGUGCGUAGGCGGCUUGGCAAGUUGGGUGUGAAAUCCCUCGGCUCAACCGAGGAACUGCGCUCAAAACUGCCAAGCUAGAGGAAGAUAGAGGUGAGCGGAACUAAUGGUGGAGCGGUGAAAUGCGUUGAUAUCAUUAGGAACACCUGUGGCGAAAGCGGCUCACUGGGUCUUUUCUGACGCUGAGGCACGAAAGCUAGGGUAGCGAAC
rnacentral:rRNA from 1 species